rnacentral:rRNA from 1 species
UACGGAGGGAGCUAGCGUUGUUCGGAAUUACUGGGCGUAAAGCGCGCGUAGGCGGCUUUGUAAGUUAGAGGUGAAAGCCUGGAGCUCAACUUCAGAAUUGCCUUUAAGACUGCAUCGCUUGAAUCCGGGAGAGGUGAGUGGAAUUCCGAGUGUAGAGGUGAAAUUCGUAGAUAUUCGCAAGAACACCAGUGGCGAAGGCGGCUCACUGGCCCGGUACUGACGCUGAGGUGCGAAAGCGUGGGGAGCAAACAGG